UGAACGCUGGCGGCAGGCCUAACACAUGCAAGUCGAGCGAGAAAUCACUUCGGUGAGAGUACAGCGGCGGACGGGUGAGUAACGCGUAGGAAUCUACCUGGUAGUGGGGGACAACAUGUGGAAACGCAUGCUAAUACCGCAUACGACCUAAGGGUGAAAGCGGGGGACCUUCGGGCCUCGCGCUAUCGGAUGAGCCUGCGUUGGAUUAGCUAGUUGGUGGGGUAAAGGCUCACCAAGGCGACGAUCCAUAGCUGGUCUGAGAGGAUGAUCAGCCACACUGGGACUGAGACACGGCCCAGACUCCUACGGGAGGCAGCAGUGGGGAAUAUUGCGCAAUGGGCGAAAGCCUGACGCAGCCAUGCCGCGUGUGUGAAGAAGGCCCUAGGGUUGUAAAGCACUUUCAAUUGGGAAGAAAGGUUGCAGGUUAAUAGCCUGUAGCUGUGACAUUACCUUUAGAAGAAGCACCGGCUAACUCC
rnacentral:rRNA from 1 species